rnacentral:rRNA from 1 species
AACGAACGCUGGCGGCAUGCCUAACACAUGCAAGUCGAACGAGAUCUUCGGGUCUAGUGGCGCACGGGUGCGUAACGCGUGGGAAUCUGCCCUUUGGUUCGGAAUAACAGUUGGAAACGACUGCUAAUACCGGAUGAUGACGAAAGUCCAAAGAUUUAUCGCCAGAGGAUGAGCCCGCGUAGGAUUAGCUAGUUGGUGUGGUAAAGGCGCACCAAGGCGACGAUCCUUAGCUGGUUUGAGAGGAUGAUCAGCCACACUGGGACUGAGACACGGCCCAGACUCCUACGGGAGGCAGCAGUGGGGAAUAUUGGACAAUGGGCGAAAGCCUGAUCCAGAAAUGCCGCGUGAGUGAUGAAGGCCUUAGGGUUGUAAAGCUCUUUUACCCGGGAUGAUAAUGACGGUACCGGGAGAAUAAGCUCCGGCUAACUCCGUGCCAGCCGCCGCCGUAA